CCGUUUUCUCCACAACGAGUUGUUUAACGAGUGAAGUUAUCAAUAUUGAAGAGUUUUUUCCCUCGAAUAUUCAUAAUAGUUUGAACGGUUAAGAUUUAAAUGCAAUACGAGGUAGAAAUGGUAGAUUAACAUGUACACGAUAACUCGAACUGUAAUAGAUGAAUCGAUUUGAAGUUUGGUACUCGUAUUAAUAAAAAUACAGCGUAUUCUCGAGCAGAAAACGGCAAAAAAUAUUCACGAUUUUUUUUCGUCAUCAAACGAGAAGAGAGGUUACAAUCCAGCCGCAUAUUUCUGAAGUAAUGCGAUCGCACGGUAUAGCGCAAUUCUUCACCGAAAAUAAUGCCAAGUAUCUUAAAUAAAACGAGGGGAUACUAAUCGACCUGUUAAUCUGAGCAAUAAAGAAUGUGCAAUGAAUCAAUGACUUAG
rnacentral:lncRNA from 1 species